rnacentral:hammerhead_ribozyme from 1 species
AUCCAGUUGACUAGUUCGAAAUAGGACGAAACGCGCGUCCAACUGGAU